CCACGUCUUUACUGCGCAUGUCCACUGCGGUCACGUUGUCUGCGCCGCUCUCAAGGGAAGCUCCGCCCACAUACCGGAAGUAGCACUGAUUGAACUUCCGGUGCUCGCAACAUCUGUGGAAGUGAUCAACUUCAAGCAGCUGCUGUGUGCCACCGAUCACACGCCACGUCUUUACUGCGCAUGUCCACUGCGGUCACGUUGGCUGCGCCGCUCUCAAGGGAAGCUCCGCCCACAUACCGGAAGUAGCACUGAUUGAACUUCCGGUGCUCGGAACAUCUGUGGAAGUGAUCAACUUCAAGCAGCUGCUGUGUGCCACCGAUCACACGCCACGUCUUUACUGCGCAUGUCCACUGCGGUCACGUUGGCUGCGCCGCUCUCAAGGGAAGCUCCGCCCACAUACCGGAAGUAGCACUGAUUGAACUUCCGGUGCUCGGAACAUCUGUGGAAGUGAUCAACU